UCGCUAGUAAUCGCGGAUCAGCAUGCCGCGGUGAAUACGUUCCCGGGCCUUGUACACACCGCCCGUCACACCAUGAGAGUCGGGAACACCCGAAGUCCGUAGCCUAACCGCAAGGGGGGCGCGGCCGAAGGUGGGUUCGAUAAUUGGGGUGAAGUCGUAACAAGGUAAC
rnacentral:rRNA from 1 species